GGAGAAAUGUCCUCUGGUCUGAUGAAACAAAAAUAGAACUGUUGGCCAAAUAUCAUCAUAUGUUUGGAGGAAAAAGGGGAGGCUUGCAAGCUGAAGAACAACCAUCCCAAACUGUUGAAGCACGGGGGUGGCAGCAUCAUGUUGUGGGGGUGCUUUGCUGCAGGAGGGACUGGUGCACUUCACUAAAUAGAUGUCAUCAUGAGGAAAAAAAAUUAUGUGGAUAUAUUGAAGCAAUAUCUCAAGACAUCAGUCAGGAAGUUAAAGCUUGGUCGCAAAUUGGUCUUUCAAAUGGACAAUGACCCCCAAGCGUACUUCCAAAGUUGUAGCAAAAUGGCUUAAGGACAACAAAGUCAAGGUAUUGGAGUGGCCAUCACAAAGCCCUGACCUCAAUCCUACCCGAAAACGUUUGACGCAAGUUGAACAAUUUAAAGGCAACGCUACCACAUACUAAUUGAGAGUAUGUAAACUUCUGACCCACUGGGGAUGUGAAAGAAAUAAAAGCUUAAAUAAAUCAUUCUCUCUACUAUUAUUCUGGCAUUUCACAUUCUUACAAUAAAGUGGUGAUCCUAACUGACCUUAGACAGGGAAUUUUUACUAGGAUUAAAUGUCAGGAAUUGUGAAACUGAGUUUUUAAAUGUAUGUAAACUUCCGAAUUCAACUGUACACAAGUGAUAUAUAGUAAUGUGUCUCUCCUUGUCCCUGUAGUUCCUAGUGUGUGUCGGUAUGAUCCUGUGGAACUUYGUAGUGAAGCAGGAGGACAUCUUGGGACAGGUGUUGACAUUCACACUGCUCUAUGGGUCACUCUACAGCACAUAUGUCUGGACUGGUAUGUACCAUGUGUCUGGACUGGUGUCUGGACUGGUAUGUACCAUGUGUCUGGACUGGUAUGUACCGUGUGUCUGGACUGGUAUGUACCGGGUGUCUGGACUGGUAUGUACCACGGGUGUCUGGACUGGUAUGUACCACGGGUGUCUGGACUGGCAUGUACCACGGGUGUCUGGACUGGUAUGUACCACGGGUGUCUGGACYGGUAUGUACCACAUGUGUCUGGACGGGUAUGUACCAUGUGUGCCUGGACUGAUAUGUACCACGUGUGCCUGGAUGGGUAUGUACCACAUGUGCCUGGACUGGUAUGUACCACGUGUGUCUGGACAGGUAUGUACCGUGUGUCUGGACUGGUAUGUACCACGUGUGUCUGGACAGGUAUGUACCGUGUGUCUGUGUCUUGGAUGGGAUGUACCGGUGUCUGGCUGGUAUGUGCAGCGUGUGUGUCGGACUGGUAUGUGCCGCGUGUUUGUCUGGAUUGGUAUGUUACCGCGUGUGUGUCUGGACUGGUAUGGUGCCGCGUGUGUGUUGGGACCUGGUAUUUGUGACGAGUGUGUUGUCUGGGACUGGUAUGUCCGCGUGUGUGUCUGGACUGGUAUGUACCGCGUGUGUGUCUGGACUGGUAUGUACCGCGUGUGUGUGUCUGGACCGGUAUGUACGAGCUGUGUGUGUGUCUGGACCGGUAUGUGCCGCGUGUUUGUGUGUGUGUGUCGGAACGGUAUGUGCCCGGUGUGUGUGUCGGGAUCGGUAUGUACGCGUGUGUGGUGGUCUGGACCUAUGUACGCGUGUGUGUCUGGACUCAGAUAUGUUGUACUGUAUCUGUGGAAAACCCUGAGUUGGUUCUGUCUGGGUCUGACUAUAGGUCUCAUUCCUCUCUGUUUGGUUCUGCAAGAGGACAAUUUUCUGAGGAUUCCACCUUGGGUCUUCUGGUCUUUGGCUGGGGGUACGUCUGUGUGUGUGUGUGUGUGUGUGUGUGUGUGUGUGUGUGUGUGUUGUGUGUGUGGUGUGUGUGUGUGUGAGUGAAACAGUGUAAUGUAUGUUUGUGUUCCUCAAACUUAACCUUACAGUGUUGUUCUCUUCCACAGCAACCGUUCCUCAUCCUUGGAGGUCUCGCUCCGGCAGGAGAGAGGAUGCCUGAUACUGUAGACUCUGCCUCUUCUUCGGCAGGGCUCAGGUGAGAGGAUGCCUGUACUGGAGACUCUGCCUUCCUCUAUGGCAGGGCUCAGGAAAGGGGCCACCUGUGAUUUUAGUUUAAGGAAUACAGAUCCACUGUAUAGUUCUCCCUGAGUUGACUACACUUUACACAUCACAUAGAUCUGGAGCCAGUCCUAAAGGUUUUACCAUUUACAGAUCACAUAGUCUGGAGCCUGUCCUAAAGGUUUUACACAUCACAUAGAUCUGGAGCCUGUCCUAAAGGUUUUACACAUCACAUAGAUCUGGGCUGUCCUAAAGGUUUUACACAUCACAUAGAUCUGGAGCCAGUCCUAAAGGUUUACACUCACAUAGUCUGGAGCUGUCCUAAAGGUUUUACAAUCACAUAGAUCUGGAGCCAGUCCUAAAGGUUUUACACAUCACAUAGAUCUGGAGCCAGUCCUAAAGGUUUUACACAUCACUAGAUCUGGAGCCAGUCUAAAUGUUUACCUCUCUCUCUCUCUCUCUGCCUCUCUCUCUCUCUCUCUACUAUCUUUCCCCUCUCUCAUAUCCUCAGUACUGCAGUAGUAGUUCCUGCAGCAUCUUGGUAGUGGUUUCUCUCUGAUGGGUCUCAGCCAGGGCACCAAGGAGAACCGAAACUACCAAGUCCUGGAGAGAGCCUCCAACACAGGUACUUAGAGGACCUGAGGCCCCCUGGACCCAGGAGGACCAGAACUACCAAGUCCUGGAGAGAGCCUCCAACACAGGUACUAUGGGACCUGAGGCCCCCUGGACACAGGAGGACCAGAAUACCAAGCCCUGGAGAGAGCCUCCAACACAGGUACUAUGGAGGCCUGAGGCCCCUGGACACCAGGAGGACCGACCCCACUGGAGCCCUCAGCACAGGACCAGCAACAACAGUGGUAGCUCACUAGACACAUUAUUGUUUGUUGUAGUUCUGUAAACUUGGGUGCAUUGGUUUACUGGGGAUUUGUUGGUUGAACUUCAUAUGUAAAACCUAAAUUGCCAACCUAAAUAUUGUUAAAAAACAUGAGUAGUUUGAUUUAACUCAGAACGGUGUCUGUGUGUUGUUGUUGUGUUCCACCCAGACUGUUGUAGCUGUACCCAGCCCGUGCCCGACAUGAUCAACGACCACCAGGAACCACUCCCACGUCUCUAACAGGUACAAGGAACACAACGUGAAUGACUACAGCUCUG
rnacentral:lncRNA from 1 species